UUUCAGCUUUUCGGUUCUCUCUCACUCACCCUCUUUCUCCCUCCUUAUUUCUCCAAAACCUUCUAACCAGAGAGAACAAAAAUCAAAAUGAUUGAAGAAAUCAAACUAAAACUAGUUGUUGAUAGGAUUACAGAGAUACAGAUCAAUCGAAAUAGAAAAUAUCAGAAAACAAAACAAAAACAGAAAUCCAGGGUUUGUAAUCGAUGUUUGGAAAUUGAUAACCUGUAAUCUUCAAAUUAAGGUACAAAUCAAAGCUUUAAAGUCUAGCACGGUAAUGAAUUCACCCAACAGAGAAGAUUCUAACCACUCCACUCCCAGAUUCGUCAAGUGGCAUUAAUUGGUGUGACUAGAGAAGAAAUGGAUGCCAAAGUAAAUAAGUAAAGACUCAAAAAGGCGUUCUGCAUCCUAAAAAGCUACUACCUGAUGGCGCACUUAUGAACUCAUGUAAAUCUGCAGAAAGGAAUAAUCUUAAAAACACUCUUGAUUAGAUGUAGUACUCUUGUUUGUCUUAGUUUAAUCUUUUGAAUGACUGAA